UUUUUAGGAAUCCAAGGCAGGCCAACAUAUUGAAAUAAUAGCUACAAAACUCCUAACCUUCUUUGGGGGUCAUACACAGCAUACUAUACUUGGGAAUGGCAUUCUGACACAUUUAUUACAUAAUAAUGCUAUUAUAUGUAAUGCUAUUCUGACACAUUUGUUAGGUAACAUUAAUGGCUUUGAGUGGGACUUAGAACAAGAAAAGGCUCUGAAACAGAUCCAAGAUGUUGUUUGAGCCAUGCAACUAGAAGAUCUCAUAGAACUAAAGUUAUCUAAUUUACAGAAAAGGUUUUACGUGACGUCUAUUGUACAGAUUCAUAUGAAAACCAUAGUUCAAACUCCAAGGUUUAAGAAGUAAGAAAGAUCAUGCCAUUUGCAACAAACAUGCAUGCAUAUUUGAAAAGCAACUGUAAGUAUGCUAUUGGACAUUGGUAAAGAUUGAAUAUCUGACCAUGGCAUAUCAAGAAACCAUGGAAUGAGUACUGCUUAUCAAGAUCUGGGUGUGAGAAGACUUAAAAAGUCAGAUAGUCAGUGAGAACCAGCUAGAAUCCAUGCAUGAUGUUUUUCAGUGAAAAAGUGGGAAGAUGAAGUGUUUGGAGGGCUUUUAAAUGGAGUAAAAUGGAAACAAAGACAAGUUAUCCCAACACCAAAAAGAGUAGGGGAUAGAAGGAUAUGUCAAGGUUUGAAAACCAUCCUUCAGAAAUGCAGGAAAGUCAAAGCUAGAAAUUUCUUUUAUGGUACCCAGGAUUUGUUUUAAUUAAGUUUGAUAAGGCACACAGGCACGAACGUGAUUGUGGUUAAUAAAGGCAUUUGCAUUAUUCUCACGGUCUCCUAAAAAUAGAAGGCCCAGCACACUAUGCCUGGGAAGUAUCUGCAUGAGAUGAGCAGGCAGAGAGGAGAGCUGAGGGCAGGGCCUUGACUGGAGUUUUUGUUGGGAGGAAUGGACAAUGGAAAGCACGCAAGCCAAAUCUGUUGUGGGAAAACUAGAAGACCAAAAAAAGCACGAAAGUCAAGAAAGAAGUCUCUUUUCACAUGAAAGUGGCUGUGCUAAUGGUCUAUCAAGAUAUCCUGAGUUUCCAGUAGAGAUGUUUCAGCCAUAACACAGGCCUGGUAGAAAAAGCCUGAAGACAAAUACUGCUAUGAAUGGUUACAUCUAGGACUUCUGAAAUUAGCCCCAGAUUCAACUCAUUUUUUUCUGCAUUUGCUGAGCAAUAUGACAUGUUUACACCGAUUAGCUAAAAAGUUAUGUGAAGAAUGGGCAACAAUAUCUCUAA
rnacentral:lncRNA from 1 species